rfam:Solenopsis invicta Si_gnG.contig82955, whole genome shotgun sequence.
AAUUGGCCUUAUCGAAGCUAUGGUGCUUACAAUAGCAUGAGUAUUGUAGUCAAAAAAAGGCCAAUAAUAAAAGUUCUUCAUUUUGGUCACAGAUUGAGUUGUAUAUUCAUUCUGUAUAACCCAAGAAGUGCACAAAA